UUGACCUCAAAUCAGGUAGGACUACCCGCUGAACUUAAGCAUAUCAAUAAGCGGAGGAAAAGAAACCAACAGGGAUUGCCUCAGUAGCGGCGAGUGAAGCGGCAAAAGCUCAAAUUUGAAAUCUGGCGUCUUUGGCGUCCGAGUUGUAAUUUGAAGAAGGUAUCUUUGGGCCCGGCUCUUGUCUAUGUUCCUUG
rnacentral:rRNA from 1 species